UACCAUUUGGUGAUCUGUGCUUUAAAGUCUCAUGGUAACCCGGAUGUGCUUAAUGAUUUGGUAGAAUUGAAAAUUAAACGAGACUUACCUGGAAGUAGAAGUUUGAUGAUAAUUCUACCAGAUCAUUAGCACAGUAGGGUUAACAUGCCCAUUACUCCCAUGCAUAUGAAUACCCUCCCAAGAAGGAGUAUUAGUUUUUCCGUUUUUUUUGUUUUUUUUGCUUCUUUGUCUAUAGUUACGCAUUUGUAUAGGCAUUGGUUUGGCAAUUAUCAAAUGUUACGUUUAAAGUAC